rnacentral:rRNA from 1 species
CCUACGGGAGGCAGCAGUGGGGAAUAUUGCGCAAUGGGCGAAAGCCUGACGCAGCGACGCCGCGUGAGGGAUGAAGGCCUUCGGGUUGUAAACCUCUUUCAGCAGGGACGAAGCGAAAGUGACGGUACCUGCAGAAGAAGCACCGGCUAACUACGUGCCAGCAGCCGCGGUAAUACGUAGGGUGCAAGCAUUGUCCGGAUUUAUUGGGCGUAAAGAGCUCGUAGGCGGCUUGUCACGUCGGGUGUGAAAACUCGGGGCUCAACCCCGAGCCUGCACUCGAUACGGGCUAGCUAGAGUAUUGCAGGGGAGACUGGAAUUCCUGGUGUAGCGGUGAAAUGCGCAGAUAUCAGGAGGAACACCGGUGGCGAAGGCGGGUCUCUGGGCAAUUACUGACGCUGAGGAGCGAAAGCGUGGGGAGCGAACAGGAUUAGAUACCCUGGUAGUCCACGCCGUAAACGGUGGGCGCUAGGUGUGGGGAAACCUUCCACGUUCUCUGUGCCGCNGCUACGACAUAGCGCCCGCCGUCGGGAGGACGGCCGCGACGACGAAACUACAAGAAGUAGACGCGUGAGACGUGCGACGGACGACGACGAGGGAGGAGG